UGCAAGUCAUCAAGCAUAUCAUUCAAUCUAGGUAUAGUUGUGAGUUUAAAAUUACAUGCUCUACGUGAAAAACUAUUCCUACAUGCUACAUCAUCUAACCUAUGAUGAUACCUUACCAAUGGUGAGUCAUCGUGCAUUCUCCAUGUCCCAUCCUUCCUGAGUACUAAUAGUGAUCACGCUGUACAGGAUCUCAUGUUUUUCUUCAUAACCCUUUGUGUUUCAACCCCUACAUACAAACUCCUUCCAUUGCCUUUAAAGCUUCUUCGUCUCCUUACGAAACACAUAGUCAAUCUUCUAUAAUAAAGAAAUAUUCAAAUUGGGGUGGGGUUGGUUAGUUUCAUCCACAAAUCGAUGCUCAAUGCCCAUUUGGGUGGUAUACCAAUAGGCUUCUUCUCAUGGACCAAGUCUUCAAAAUUCUACAAGACAAAAAUAACCGAACUAGGGAGGGGUUUGUUAAUUUUCACUAAAG
rnacentral:lncRNA from 1 species